rnacentral:rRNA from 1 species
CCCUUAGAUGUUCUCGGCCGCACACGCGCUACACUGAAGGAGGCAACGUGUUUGCCUGAUUCGAAAGAAUUGGGUAACCCCCUAAUCUCUUUCGUGCUGGGGAUUGAGGUUUGCAAUUAUCCUUCAUGAACGAGGAAUUCCCAGUAAGUGCGAGUCAUUAUCUCGCGCUGACUACGUCCCCGCCCUUUGUACACACCGCCCGUCGCUACUACCGAUUGAAUGAUUUAGUGAGGACUUCGGACUGAGUCCAAUGCGGCUUUCGGGCUGCGUUGGUAUUUCGGAAAGAUGUCCAAACUGUAUCAUUUAGAGGAAGUAAAAGUCGUAACA